UAAAACUUAAAGAAAUGUAUGUAAACUGAUACUGCAAGGCAAUAAUUCAGGUUUUGUCAUGUCUAUGGAAAUAUUGAUACCGAAGAUACUGUUGAUGUAAAAUUCUAGAUCCUCUAUACUCUUCAUAGGUUUCCUUCUAUUGUCCUCAUAGCUGGAUUAAUGAUGUGACCAAGUGUUACGGACCUAUAAGAAAUGGCUCGUGAGGCCCGGAACACAUCAAAUAAACGAAUCAGAAACAACUGUUGCCACUAAAUAAUAACAAAUGUUUAUUGGUUGAAACAAACAAAUAUUUAGAAAGGCAACAAACCAAAAGGGUUGGAGGUUCCCGGCCAAAACAAACAAAAGAGAGGGGAACACUGAGCCAGCCAUCGGCCGUCGAAGUCAGUGUUCACCCCCGAACUAAGUCUGCCUAAAUAACCCACUACCUAAAUGAAAGGAAAAGGUAAUCCGAAAACAGGACUACCGGGAACCCCCGAACCAACUACCAACAUAACAAAAGCUCAAAAGGACUUCUGGCAUGGGGGAAACCGGAGCCUCGGUCUCCUCACCCGUUCACCUGCAUGGAAGAAUAGAGAGCGAGAAAGAAAUUCACAGCCUCCUUAAGUCAGCUCCAGCUGACGAGGUGAUGAGUCUCACCUGAGGACUGGCUGCAUGGAGAGAGAGAGAAAGGUGGAGAGAGGCACAAACACACACACACUUUCUAACACAGAGCCCCACCUCCUGGCCACACGUAACACCAAGUAUAGAAGGGAUCAGGAAUGUUAAACUUUUAUUUUAAGUCAACAUGUAACCUCCAACAUUUUAGAUUAUUUAGUCCAAACAUUUUAUUAAAUUUAUUACAUCUAAUCAAAUUGGACACAAUCAGUAAUUGGUGUUUUGAGCCUAUUUGUUUCACAGCUAUGGAGCUAGAGCCUGAGGCCCUUAAUCUCAAUAUCCUCAAGUAUUUCAAAGGGCAUUUUUAUUCAACUGCAUCAUUUUCAGAAUGACGUUGUUUUUGCUAUAACUUUGCAUGUUGCAACAUUAAGGAUUUUAUCUAGAUUAAAUGUGAUCCUUUACAAGGCUGUAAUUCUGUACAGGCUUCAAAUUGCUGUGUUGUGUUGGGAGGGGACUGUGUAUUCUUGACUCUUGCAGAUUAAGUUAUAUGGGCCGCCAUUCCAAAAUCUACAUUCAAGUCUGCACCUACGGUUCACAAAGAAGGAAUCCUUCACGUUCAGAAAUAAGAGUGCUAGACUGGCUCAAGAACAAGUGAAGUCCUCUAACCUGGAGCAGGUAGUAAGGUAAUGACUUAACUUUUCAUAAUGAACUUCUGCAAUGUUGUAGAAUUGAAAAAUGACAUCUAGGAACUGGCUUUAUGGUAACCUCAAAUAAUUAGUAACAAUAAUGCUUUACUAGCAUUUCUCCUUGGCCACAGGGCCUCCUGACUGAGAUAAAUCCCAAUGUGAUGAUAGAAUAAUAUAGCAGCCAGAUGCUGGGGCAACCCAGUCUCAUCAGAAAACGUUCAGUGGCAACGUUGGUCCACUUGGAACGACGUUACCAUCUCAAAUUCUGGCCUCUCAGAGUGUGAGAUGGUAACAUUUUGUCAGCCCAUUGUUUUGCAUUGGCUUGUUCUCACGUCACGUGACUCACAAGCUCCCGUCUGCGGAGAGGAAAACAUGGCGGAUAUUCCUUUUUUCUCAGAUAAACAUAUAGUUUUGUAACUUAGUUUUGGCAUUAAAAAUACAUUCUGACACCAUUUCUAGCGAGAAAUGUGCUCUUUGCUUCCACAGUCUUCAGCCAGUUCGUGCUUAUGAUAAAUAUUUUAAUAGUUAUCACGAAUGUUUUUAUCGUUGCUAUGAGGGUUGCUAUGAAGCUGCCAUGCCAGCACGGCUCAGCGUGCUGUUAAAAUCAGCGUCCCUGCGUGGUGUCCUUCAGUGAUCGUGAAUGUUAUUCACGUUAUAUAAUAUUAAUAUUUGAGGCUAGAUUACACCUCUAAUGCGAAGGAUCCUGCGAGACCGUUCAUCCCGAAGGGGGACCGACUGCGCCACGGACGGACUGGGCGAGCGGAACUGACGUGUGGCUUUUAGUAAACAUUCUGACCUUAACUCUGGGCUGCGUAGUAACCACCGAGCGCUUGGAAGACAAACGAUGUCGUCUUCCUUCUGUCAGGAGGAUCCAAGUGAAGCUACAGGAGUUUCAUUAACAUCAAUAACUUGGACCGAACACUUUGUUUUGCUUGAUGAAGAGCAGGAAGGGCAACCUGGAGAGAAAGAGAAGCCGGGUUGAGCCCACUACCAUCAUCCACGUACCACGAGGAAGAUGCGGGAGAGAAAUGAUCCUACCAUUAAAGAGAUUCCUGUGUUCUGCUGCUUCUUCUGAAUCAAGAGGAACAAGAGCUGUUUGUGGGACUCGUCUCCAAGAGGACAGGAAGACACAUUCAGAAUAAAUCUGUCUCAAUCAACCUUAUAGACUUUGAGUGGAGUUUCAUAUAGGUUAGUGAGAGCUCUCUCCCUAGGUCAUUUGUCAAUUUGUCUCUUUAAUUUUGUACAUGUAAUCAUAUUAUUCUUCUCCUGUCCACUUAAUAUGAAUCAAUUCAUUUCCAAAUAUGGGUAUGCUUCCUUUCCAUGUACACAAAGGGGAUCAUGCUCCCCUGUCCAAGGGCACGUAAUCAAAUGUAGGACUUGAUCUCUUUAUUUCGUUUGGAUGUAUUUACUUCAUGAAUGUCACUUGUUGAUCUUCCAUGUAAUCAAGUUGCAGAGCUUGUGUUGUUGAAUUAAUAGUUUUAAAGAGAUUCGUCUGAUAGAGGCACUCUUAUUUGACCAGGACCAUUAAAAAUGAAUAAAGAAAGGAAUAUUUCAUGUUGUUUUUAAUUAUCUAGUGUUAUAUAUUAUCUUUGUGGGAUUGAUGUUUUGUCCUGAUACUUGCAUCAUUUCUCCAAGUGUUUUACAAGGUUAAUUUGUUUCAUCACAUGUAAUGAACAGACUGAUAACUGUCAUGUUCUGAAAUCU